GUUUCUACUUGAUGGUACGUUCGCUUGUGAUUCGUGAGGCCCGACUGCUUGACAAACAUCAUGUCGCAUUUGUCGCAGCGAAAGGUGGCAUUAGGCAUGUUGGGCUGCUUGGAGGCGUUAGCAACAGACGUCCCGUUCAGUGUACCUGGUGAAUUAUGUGAUUCCUCGCCCUUGAGCUCACUUCCGCUCAUAACAGGAUGCGAUACGACGGUGGGAGUGUUGGAAUGGAUGGUGGGUGAAGCCGCAUUCAAAGAAACCCCAUUUUCCGCAGUAGGCAGCGACGACGCUGCUGAUGUGGCGACUGCACUCAUACUCUCGUUCCCACCAAGCGGAUUCACGUUUUGCAAACGGCCUCCAUUGUUUUGCAAGCUCCCAUCCAUCUCCUUUUUUCUACUAUUGUUUUGGUCAGCGUUCAUGUAAAUUUUGUUACUGGAGAGCUCAUCAUUGCUUGUGACCUGAGCGUACGUUGACGAGGCUUCUGGCGAGUGCUCACUCAUAGACUUUACCAACAAAAAAUUUCGACUCAGUUUGAAUCGUUAGCUUUAAAUAUCUCCGGAAAAUACGUCCUCACACUCGACUUUGCUUUGCUCAGUCAAAAUCAAAUUUUUCGCAUGCAGUGUGGAGGUGUUGGUGGUAAGUAGCAUGAAGGUAGCAAAAGGGUAGCAAAAAAAUAUUAACGAGACUUAAUGUGGCUCAUUAGGAUGACAGGAGUGACAUUCCAAGGGUAACAAAAGUCCUAAAUUUAGCAGGAGAAAGCGAGGAGGCAAAGAGAGACUAACUUGGGAUCGAUAGAAUGAUGGAGCAGAUAAAAAUUCCGAUAAAAAAUAGGUCUCUUGUGAGGAAAUCAUACACAAUCUGCGUUGGUGGGUCUUUGCUUUGUUUACAAGAAAGAUCGGUAAAGAGCGAUAAGCAUUUAUUGCGAUACGAUGGACCGUGGUAUAUUGAUCUGAUAUCUACUAUAGAGAAAGAAGUAGUAAGGAAAGUGGGAAGAGAAAAAUAAUAUUAAAAUAACAUUAUAAUGUUGAAAGAAAAAAGAACGUGAAAAAGAUUGGUGAAGUUCUGUGAACCUGGCUGGCUAGAUGUUUGUUUAUAUCCGGGGUGGAAGAUGAAAAAUGGGUAUUCCUAGCUGAACACAAUAUACUCAUUCAUUUUUUUGCUUUCAGUGGUUUUUUACUUUUUAUGUGAAGAACUGCCCUGACUUGCAGCAGGAAUAGGAAAUGCGAAACCAUAUAAUUAAAAAUUCAACAGAUUGUUGCACAAGUUCCCUUUUUGUUUACAUCUGUCAUAGAGGGAAUCCUGACCAAUUGCUUUUAAAAGUGCAAAGACUUUUAAAUUGUAGUUUUUUCUGGAUGAAAAGAUUUAAAAACACAAUUUAGGUCUUCAACUGAUGGAAGGAAGAGUCUACGUAAGGUGUCCUAUGAAAACUCUAUAAAGCAGUAAAGACUCCCAACAAAAGAAAAUAAACAUUAUUUUGAAAUAUCUUUAACCAUAUGAGAAGGGGGAAACACUAAGUUUGAGGCGAUGGAAAUGGACAUCCAUUUUUAGGUCUUCUUACAAACAACAAUGUUGUCUUUGUUACAAAAGUAUGUGUUGCGUACAUCAGAUUUUCAAGGAAAUAGAAAAAUACUUAACAAGAAAAAAUAUGUCGUAUUUGCCCAUGAAACUGUCCAGCGCUUAAACACGAUAAUUCAAUAUCAAGCACUCGCCAAUAAUUCA